rnacentral:rRNA from 1 species
UGCCUACAAGCUAGCCGCCUUGGUUAAGAACAAUUUUCUUCCCUCUUAAAUACCCCCUAAGACACUUAAAAUAUGUUUAAAUAAAUCAUUCUUCCUCCUGAGUAUAGGCGAUAGAAAAGGAACUAGUUGCGCUGUAGAUAAAGUACCGUAAGGGAAAGCUGAAAGAGAAAUGAAAUAAAUUAAUUAAGUUUUGAAAAGCAGAGAUUUAAGCU